rnacentral:misc_RNA from 1 species
AGUAGAACUCGAUGAUCGAACGCGGCAGCUGCGUACCUUCCUCGAUGCCGAGGCGCUGCGACAGCGAUCCCGCGGCGACGUUGCGCACCACAACCUCGAGCGGCACAAUCUCGACCUCGCGGAUCAACUGCUCGCGCAUGUUGAGACGCUUGAUGAAAUGCGUCGGCACGCCGAUGUCGUUCAGAUGCUGGAAGACGUACUCCGAGAUCCGGUUGUUGAGGACACCCUUGCCCUCAAUGAUCUGGUGUUUCUUGGCAUUGAACGCGGUUGCGUCGUCCUUGAAGUGCUGAAUCAAGGUUCCAGGCUCGGGCCCUUCGUAAAGGGUCUUGCCCUUGCCUUCGUAAAUGCGACGCCGACGGCUCAUAGGGAUGUACCGUGUGUUGUUGAAGUCCAUGAAUGGGAUGCUCCGGGUGAUUUACGCGACCCACGGCGGAGCUGCCGUGAAGCC